rnacentral:rRNA from 1 species
GGGCCCGCACAAGCGGUGGAGCAUGUGGUUUAAUUCGAUGAUACGCGAGGAACCUUACCAGGGCUUAAAUGUAAGUUGCAUAGACCAGAGAUGGUCUUUUCUUCGGACUACUUACAAGGUGCUGCAUGGUUGUCGUCAGCUCGUGCCGUGAGGUGUCAGGUUAAGUCCUAUAACGAGCGCAACCCCUGUCGUUAGUUGCCAGCAAGUUAAGUUGGGCACUCUAGCGAGACUGCCGGUGCAAACCGCGAGGAAGGUGGGGAUGACGGUCAAAUCAUCACGGCCCUUACGUCCUGGGCUACACACGUGCUACAAUGGCCGGUACAGAGAGCAGCCACUCCGCGAGGAGGAGCGAAUCUAUAAAACCGGUCUCAGUUCGGAUCGCAGUCUGCAACUCGACUGCGUGAAGCUGGAAUCGCUAGUAA